ensembl:snoRNA small nucleolar RNA, C/D box 49B
UGUUCUGAUGAUACGAAUAAUAGGAAGUGCCGUCAGAAGCGAUAACUGACGAUGUUUAUGCUCGUCUGACC